rnacentral:tRNA from 1 species
GGGGUUGUAGCUCAGUAGUAGAGUGCUUGCCUAGCAUGUAUGAGGCACUGGGUUUGAUUCUCAGCACCA